AGAACGAACGCUGGCGGCAGGCUUAACACAUGCAAGUCGAGCGCCCCGCAAGGGGGAGCGGCAGACGGGUGAGUAACGCGUGGGAAUCUACCUAGCUCUUCGGAAUAGCUCCGGGAAACUGGAAUUAAUACCGAGUACGCCCUACGGGGGAAAGAUUUAUCGGAGUUAGAUGAGCCCGCGUUGGAUUAGCUAGUUGGUGGGGUAAUGGCCUACCAAGGCGACGAUCCAUAGCUGGUCUGAGAGGAUGAUCAGCCACACUGGGACUGAGACACGGCCCAGACUCCUACGGGAGGCAGCAGUGGGGAAUCUUGGACAAUGGGCGCAAGCCUGAUCCAGCCAUGCCGCGUGAGUGAAGAAGGCCUUCGGGUUGUAAAGCUUCUUUACCAGGGACGAUAAUGACGUACCUGGAGAAUAACGCCCGGACAAACUUCGUGCCAGCACGCCGC
rnacentral:rRNA from 1 species